CCCUUAGAUGUUCUGGGCUGCACGCGUGUUACAAUCGGGAGUACAACAAGAUUGCAAAUCCUAGUGGAUGAGUGGUUCUUCGAAAUUUUCUGAAGACUGGGAUAGUUGAUUGAAAUUAUUCAACUCAAACGAGGAAUUCCUUGUAAUUGUAAUUCAUUAUAUUGUAAUGAAUACGUCCCUGCCCUUUGUACACACCGCCCGUCGCUCCUACCGAUUGAACGAUCCGGUGAAUUAUUUGGAGUAGCUCUGGAAGUUGCAGAACUUCCUAUGUCACGAAAUUUUGUAAACCUUAUCGUUUAGAGGAAGGAAAAGUCGUAACAA
rnacentral:rRNA from 1 species